rnacentral:ncRNA from 1 species
AAAUUGAAGAGUUUGAUCAUGGCUCAGAUUGAACGCUGGCGGCAGGCCUAACACAUGCAAGUCGAACGGUAACAGGAAGCAGCUUGCUGCUUUGCUGACGAGUGGCGGACGGGUGAGUAAUGUCUGGGAAACUGCCUGAUGCUGAGGGGGAUAACUACUGGAAACGGUGGCUAAUACCGCAUAACGUCGCAAGACCAAAGAGGGGGGACCUUCGGGGCCUCUUGCCAUCAGAUGUGCCCAGAUGGGAUUAGCUAGUUGGUGAGGUAACGGCUCACCAAGGCGACGAUCCCUAGCUGGUCUGAGAGGAUGACCAGCCACACUGGAACUGAGACACGGUCCAGACUCCUACGGGAGGCAGCAGUGGGGAAUAUUGCACAAUGGGCGCAAGCCUGAUGCAGCCAUGCCGCGUGUAUGAAGAAGGCCUUCGGGUUGUAAAGUACUUUCAGCGGGGAGGAAGGUGUUGUGGUUAAUAACCGCAGCAAUUGACGUUACCGCAGAAGAAGCA